CCGUUCGCGGAGGAGGACGCCGAAGGCAGGGCUGGUGACUGGGGUGAAGUCGUAACAAGGUAGCCGUACCGGAAGGUGUGGCUGGAUCACCUCCUUUAUAGGGAGACCCGACCAGAGUCAAGGUGAAAAAAAUCAAUUAACCUGACUCUCGGACAAUCCCGAGGUCGUUCGGGGUGAAAUGGAAAUCGUUGUUUCAAACUGAGUUCGGUUCGGAGUAAGGGCUAUUAGCUCAGGUGGUUAG
rnacentral:misc_RNA from 1 species